UACAGAGGGUGCGAGCGUUGUCCGGAAUCACUGGGCGUAAAGGGCGCGUAGGCGGCUUGAUAAGCGUGCGGUGAAAGCCCGGGGCUCAACCCCGGGUCGGCCGUGCGAACUGUCGAGCUGGAGCACUGUAGAGGCAGGUGGAAUUCCGGGUGUAGCGGUGGAAUGCGUAGAGAUCAGGAGGAACACCGGUGGCGAAGGCGGCCCUCUGGGUCGACCCUGACGCUGAGGCGCGAAAGCGUGGGGAGCGAACGGG
rnacentral:rRNA from 1 species